UGUUUCAUCAGAAAAGAAAUGGAAAUAAAGCAGGAGAGACUGUUGAGGUGGGAGAGGGAAGAGAAGUGAUGAGGGCUGGGGUAGGGCACCUCCUCCAUCACACUGCUCUUUCAGCAAAGAAUACUUUCCUGAAGAACAUGGAUCCAGCAGAGCACACAGAGAGACAGGCAGAUAAACUGUACGGCUUGUCUCAAGGCUUCCUGUCACUGUACAGAACCCUCAGAAGUGAAGUUGCAUCUCUGCCGGCUAAGGCUUUCUUUAUCUUGCCUCACUUCACAGCACACGGGCAGACCCACAGGACAGAGGGCACCUAGAGCUCAGAAGGCAGAGGACGGUGUCCCUCAGUGAGAUCAGCUCAGCGCUUCAGCCAAGAAGAAUCGAGGAACCUGGGUACACAUUCGCCUUGCUACACACAAAGUUAGGAUCCUUUCUUCUAUCCUUUUGUGAGAGGACCCUGAAGGCUUUCCUGGGCUUCGGGUGAGAAAGUGGAUGGGCCAGCCCACAGAAGAAGGGACAUAUGCGUAUUCUCAGAGGACAUGGAGCAGGAGCUUGGGCUUGCAAUUUAAAAUGAAUCACUCAGUAAGCUCAGUGCCUGCCGGUCAGUUCCCCUUUACAAACAAGAAGAGGAGCAGACAGGGCUCCGUUGGGAGCGGGGGACCGUGCGAGCAGUCCUACGUGGAGUCAGAUGUUUGAAAUACAAUGUCCACAUGCUGCUUUCGGAUGUUGGAAGGAGCUGUUGUGAUACAGAAGGAAGGCUUCAAGGCCACAUGGCCACAUGUGAAACUCGAUCCAGCAAAAUUAGCACUGAAAAUUUCCACUUCCAUCUCAGAGAAGCUAAGGGAUUUGUCUGUCUCCAGGCAUGAUUAGAGAAGAGAUCGGAAGUCUCUGAAGUGGUGGGCACUAAUCAUUCUGCUUUGGAAUCCUGCAAGAUGGAAAGAACCUGAAAACCUGGUGGCAGAGGGAACAGGGAAGCAGAAUAUGAAGGUUUGGAGCUGGGAGUCUCCAAAGUUGCUUGUUCCAUCUCCUCUAGGGGAGGGAAGGUCUGCCGGCUGUGUGACCGCGGGAAGGGUGUGUCCGUACUCACCUGGCCCCACAACAGCUCUCCAAUACCAAUGAAGAGACACCAGAACCACUGGGACAGGGUGAGCUUCGUACAACUGAAGGGUUUGCCUCCAAAUUCCACGAUGAUAAUCUAGAACAGACAAAGAGGCAGCCUGUGACUGGGAGGAGCAGAUGGAGGCUUGGAAGAGUGAUUUCCUGCCCCAACACCCCUGCAGAAACGCUGGGCCUUGCUCCUCAGUCGACACGCUGUAACGUCAUACCCCUUGUUCCUUGGCCCCAGCCUCAUCCCUCUCGUCUCAGCUCAUCCCACCUGGGU